AUGGCGCUGCGGGGCUGCGGGCGCUGGGCGCUCCGGGCCUCGGCCCUGCGCGGCGGCGGCGGCUCCGGGCGGCGGCACCGCGGGCACGGCACCGACACGCCGCAGCACGGCGCCUUGCGGGCGGCCCUCAGGAAGAUCAUCGACAGGGAGAUUAAUCCCUUUGUGGACAAAUGGGAAGAAGAAGGACAGUUCCCAGCACAUAAAGUAUUUAAAACCCUGGGACAGGCUGGAUUCCUUGGUGUGGAUAAGCCAACAGAAUAUGGCGGCAUGGGCUUGGACUUCUCGUAUAACAUUGCAGUGGCGGAAGAGCUGGGAAGUAUCCGCUGUGGAGGUAUUCCUAUGGCUAUCGGGGUGCAAGCUGGCAUGGCUACUCCUGCUCUAACAAGGUUUGGUUCUGAUGAGUUGAGAAAACAGUUCCUCACACCAACUAUAGCUGGGGAUUUUGUGGCUUGCUUGGGAAUCAGUGAAGCUGGAGCUGGGUCAGAUGUUGCAAAUAUCAAGACAACAGCUGUGAAGAAAGGCGAUGAGUAUGUCAUAAAUGGUGGUAAGAUGUGGACGACAUCUGGGUGCCAAGCGGACUGGAUGUGCCUGCUGGCAAAUACGAGUGAAGGACCUCCUCAUCGAAAUAAAUCUCUCAUAUGUCUGCCAAUGAAUCUACAUGGCAUUCACAUUGCUAAAAAGAUAGACAAACUGGGCAUGAGGUCAUCGGACACAGCUCAGAUCUUUUUUGAAGACGUAAGAGUCCCCUGCAAAAACCUCAUCGGUGAGGAGGGAAUGGGUUUUACAUAUCAGAUGUUGCAAUUCCAAGAAGAGCGGCUGUGGGGAGUAGCCACUGUCCUGACACCGCUGGAAACAAUAAUACAAGAAACCAUUGAGUACACUCGCCAGCGAAAGGUGUUUGACCGGUCUGUGCUGCACAACCAAGUCGUGCAUUUCCGCCUGGCAGAGCUGGCCACCGAACUGGAGCUGCUGCGUUCACUGCUGUACCGCACUGUUGCUCUCUAUGUGGAAGGCAAUGAUGUGACCAAGUUUGCUUCCAUGGCUAAGCUAAAGGCCGGUCGUCUGGCCCGUGAAGUGACUGACAGCUGUCUGCAGUUUUGGGGUGGAAUGGGAUUCACCAGCGAGGUGCUGGUGAGCAGAUUUUACAGGGACUUGAGAUUAAUGUCAAUAGGAGGUGGUACUGAUGAAACCAUGCUUUCUAUUAUAUGCAAAUUCAUGGAAACUCUUCCAAGCAAGUAACACGUCUUCACUCUACCUCAAAAAUCAAAGAAAGAGCAUGGAUUUUACUGCAUACUGAAGGCAACGCUUUUCAAGGGUGAAAUAAAUAAAAAAAAGGAACAGUACUUUUUUCCAGCAAAAUACAUGUAUCAAUAUCAUGAUACAUGUUCUCCAAUAUAAAAUUCACACUGAUGGGAAACAGUCUGAAAGCGUGUGGCCUACUGCAAGAUUUUUUUCUGUUUUUAGUGAAUCGCAGCUUUGAAGCCUCUCGUGAUCCACACUAAGCACCCAGAAAUCUUUACAGAAUCAUAGAAUCUUAUCAUCUUCAAUCAAGCCCCACCCCACCACUGAAGAAAGAAGCAAGGGAGGACGGAAAGGAGGAAGAGAGACCCUAUUUUAUAUAAGUUUCCUUUUCACCUGGUUUGACUUUUAAAACAAAAAUCCUGUUGGUUUUAUACAUGAACUGAAAGACAGGUAAGAGGUAUUUUUUUGUUUGUUUGUUUGUUUUACCAGUGUGCUCUGUCAAGGGAAACCAUAGCAUAUUCUUCAGAACAAACAGGACAUCUAUCAGCUGCGUAACUACUUGCAUCCACCUAUUUUCUAUUUUGUAUUAGGUAGAUAAAAACUAUUUCAAUUUAUUGGUAAGACAGAUCAAUUAGUAAGGGGAAAAAAAGUCUAGAAAGAGCCAGAAAAGAAGAAAAAAGCUGAUAUGAGAUAAAGCUUAAAUAUAUUUCCAAAAGAUGACCAACUAUCACAGGAAUGCGGUUGUCAAACGGUUAUGUCAAUAAUUAUUACUCAUUAGACACCUUACACUCCACUCUUUCAUUAAAAUUAUACAUGUGCUUCAAGCUUUGAUGGCAUACUAUAUCCUGUUGACUGUCUUGGGGAAUACUAUAUUUGUUUAGCAAGCCUAGCAAUUCUCAUAUAAAGAAGAUGCAUUGUACUGGCGUUAAUAUUUCAAUGCUGUCUUACUUGUAGAGGUUUUGUAGACCUUUCAACAGUCAAAGAUUAAAUAGGCUAGGAACAGUUACAUUUUAGUUACUUUUAUAUAAAUAUUCAGAUUGUGUGAUUUAGAUGUAAUACUUCUGUUCAAUAUGAAAACUAACAAAAAAAAACGUAGCAUACACCUCCAUUUAUUUUAAUAGCACACAACACACAAGUCUAGCCCCUUAAAUGCAGUACCAUCUCCAAAGAACACUGGUAUUCUACAGCAGAGAAGUAUGUAUACAAACAACAACAAGAAUACUCCAGGACAUUUUAUUUGUUAGAACAUAAUUAAGUUAUUAAUGGCAACGUUAUACAGUAUUUCUAGAAAAGUCAUUCAAAAUUAGAUACAGUUUUCAUAUCUAGAAAACAAUUUUUUUGAACUUUGAACUCAGCAAUGUAAUAGCUUCAACUAUUAGAAACCAUGUGGUGAGCUAAAGCUAAGUGUUAAAAGUAAAAAAAAAAAAGAACUUAAUAUGACAGCACCUCCAACAGGUGCAUCAUAAUAUACUUCAAUACAAAAUUAAAAAUACUCAACCUCAUAUUUCAGACAUGCAGUGUAGAUUUGGGACUCAUCACUGACUGAAAAGUAAAGAAACUAAUGGUAAAAGUUCUAGUGAUUCAAUGGAAUCGUUACAUUUUGGAUAUUUUAAAUAUAAAAGGAAGCACUUGUACUGUGCCCAUAUCUGCUUAAAAGAACAGAUGUGCAAGCAUUAUUGGUCACAUUUAAAUGAAAAAUCCAGUUUUAAGUAAGUUCUCUGCAAAAUGAAAAGCUUAAGCUAUCUAAACAUGUAGACUAAUAAACCUAUCCAUCUGGGCAUCGCAAAAAUAAUUUGAGGAGGGUAUCACUAUUAUUUUUGUUACCUCAGGCCAACCUUUUAAAAAAAAAAAAACACAGAUAAAACCAAUUCAGAAAGAUCCACGUAUUGUUCACGCUUUUGCAACCUAAAAAUUACUACAUGCCUGAAACUGGAGCUCUAAUUUAGAGCAUGGUCCAGAAUG